rnacentral:rRNA from 1 species
CCUACGGGAGGCAGCAGUGAGGAAUAUUGGUCAAUGGCCGGAAGGCUGAACCAGCCAUGCCGCGUGAAGGUCAGUGCCCUAUGGGCGUUAAACUUCUUUUGUGCGGGAGCAAUAAUGGUCACGUGUGGCCAGACGAGAGUACCGUACGAAUAAGCAUCGGCUAACUCCGUGCCAGCAGCCGCGGUAAUACGGGGGAUGCAAGCGUUAUCCGGAUUUAUUGGGUUUAAAGGGUGCGUAGGCUGUGAGGUAAGUCAGCGGGGAAAUGCCCCCGCUCAACGGGGUGAAGUGCCAUUGAUACUGCCUUGCUGGAAUGCGGAUGCCGUGGGAGGAAUGUGUGGUGUAGCGGUGAAAUGCAUAGAGAUCACACAGAACACCGAUUGCGAAGGCAUCUCACGAAUCCGCGAUUGACGCUGAUGCACGAAAGCGUGGGUAUCAAACAGGAUUAGAUACCCCAGUAGUC